AACAUUAGGUACCAAUAUGCAAUUUAACAUCAGAAGAAAAAUCAUUUUUGGAUAGUGCACACCUGGAUGUAGAAGACAAUGUUGAGACGGAAGAAUUAACAGUAGAAAAUACAGAAGUCAAUGAAAAUAGUCAGCAAAAACAGCUAGAUUUUCCAACAGUAACUAAACAGCAUAAAUUAAAUGGUGAAGUAAACGGUGAAGUUACUAUAGUUAACAAGAAAAAUACAGAAGAUACAAUAAAUGAGGAACAUAGUUUUAGUUUUGAAAGUUCAAAACAAACGUUGUUGCAAUGUUUUACUGUUUGAAUAAAUUCUUUACUACAGGAACAAGUUAAGGACAGCAGCACUACACCACAAUCUGCACAUACAGAUGAGGUAUCUAUUGUACAAGUACCAGAGUGUGCACAUAUUGAUGAGUUAUAUCUUGCGCCAGUACAGGAGUGUGCACAUAAUGAUGAGUUAUCUUUUACGCCAGUACCAGAGAGACAAUUGUCAAAUCAGGAGUAUAUGGAAAAUAUGUGGAGACAGAAACUAGAAAAGAUUCUCCCUGUAGAAAGAAGUAAUAAUGUUUACAAUGCAACACCUUUGGCUGACAUUACAAACUCACAGAUGGUUCGCAACACUGAUAUGAUGCAGA